AGAGUUUGAUCAUGGCUCAGAACGAACGCUGGCGGCAUGCCUAACACAUGCAAGUCGAACGAGAAAGCGGGGGCAACCCCGUGAGUACAGUGGCGAACGGGUGAGUAACACGUGACUAACCUGCCUUCGAGCGGGGGAUAACCCCGGGAAACCGGGGCUAAUACCGCAUAACAUCGCGAGGUGAAAUUCCUUGUGAUCAAAUGCGCAAGCAGCUUGAAGAGGGGGUCGCGGCUGAUUAGCUAGUUGGUGAGGUAACGGCUCACCAAGGCGAUGAUCAGUAGCCGGCCUGAGAGGGCGCACGGCCACACUGGAACUGAAACACGGUCCAGACUCCUACGGGAGGCAGCAGUGGGGAAUUUUGCGCAAUGGGGGAAACCCUGACGCAGCAACGCCGCGUGGAGGAUGAAGUCCCUUGGGACGUAAACUCCUUUCGACCGGGACGAAUAUUGACGGUACCGGUGGAAGAAGCCCCGGCUAACUUCGUGCCAGCAGCCGCGGUAAUAC
rnacentral:rRNA from 1 species